UCAGUGCUCUGUCUGUCUCUCUCUCAGUCUGUUUCUGUCUCUCUCUAGUCUAGGACCUCAGCACAUCAGUGGUGCUGUCCACACGUAGGCUAGCUCUUCCCUCCUCAAUUAAACCUUUCUGGAGGCAUGUUGACACAGCCAGCUGUGAAGGGGAUUGUCAACCAAUCAAGCUGACAAUCGACCAUAACAAAAGCUCCUGUGAAAAUAGAAAUCUACAUGGACACAGUGGCGGUACUGAGGGUCCUAGCAGUUAGAGGCGGAGGAGGAAAGAGUAUUAUGACUUUGAGACCAUCCUGGGGUACCUAGACUUUGACUCCAAAAGCCAAACAAAUGAGUGGAUGACUGAAUAAG